GAUGAACGCUGGCGGCGUGCCUAAUACAUGCAAGUCGAACGAAUCUUCUUCGGAAGAUGAGUGGCGAACGGGUGAGUAAUACAUAGGUAACCUGCCCCUGUGCGGGGGAUAACAGGAGGAAACUCCUGCUAAUACCGCAUAGCCAUGAGCACCGCAUGGAGCUCAUGCCAAAUAUCCUUUCGGGGAUAGCGCAGGGAUGGACCUAUGGCGCAUUAGCUGGUUGGCGGGGCAACGGCCCACCAAGGCAACGAUGCGUAGCCGGCCUGAGAGGGCGGACGGCCACAUUGGGACUGAGACACGGCCCAGACUCCUACGGGAGGCAGCAGUAGGGAAUUUUCGGCAAUGGGGGAAACCCUGACCGAGCAACGCCGCGUGAGCGAAGAAGGCCUUCGGGUCGUAAAGCUCUGUUGUAAAGGAAGAACGGCGCAUACAGGAAAUGGUAUGCGAGUGACGGUACUUUACCAGAAAGCCACGGCUAACUACGUGCCAGCCGCCGCCGUAAUAC
rnacentral:rRNA from 1 species